CCUGGCGGCUUUAGCGCGGUGGUCCCACCUGACCCCAUGCCGAACUCAGAAGUGAAACGCCGUAGCGCCGAUGGUAGUGUGGGGUCUCCCCAUG
rnacentral:rRNA from 5 species